CAGUGAGAGGGAUGAUGUACUACUAUAGGGCACUGAAAAUGCUUGCCUUCCUUGAUACUGCGUCUGAGUUGGAUAUAAGG